UACGUAGGCAGCGAGCGUUGUUCGGAAUUACUGGGCGUAAAGGGCGCGUAGGCGGCACUGUUAGUCAGGCGUGAAAUUCCUGGGCUCAACCUGGGGACUGCGCUUGAUACGGCAGAGCUAGAGGAUGGAAGAGGCUCGCGGAAUUCCCAGUGUAGCGGUGAAAUGCGUAGAUACUGGGAGGAACACCAGUGGCGAAGGCGGCUACCUGGACCGGUUCUGACGCUGAGGCGCGAAAGCGUGGGUAGCAAACAGG
rnacentral:rRNA from 1 species